rnacentral:sRNA from 1 species
UGACAGUACCUGUACCUGGCGGGUGAGU